CUUUGCUAGGUAUAUUCCUAAGUUUUGUUUUUUUGUUGUUGUUGUUUGUCGCAGCUAUUGUAAAAGGGGUUGAGUUCUUGAUGUGAUUCUCUGCUUGGUAGCUGUUGAUGUAUGGAAGAGCUACUGAUUUGUGUCCAUUAAUCUUGUAUCUGGAAACUUUGCUGAAUUCUUUUAUCAGUUCUAGGAGGUUUCUAGAGGAGUCCGUAGGGUUUUCUAGGCAAAAGAUUAUAUCAUCAGCAACAAGUGACAGUUUGACUUCCUCUUUACCGAUUUGGAUUUCCUCUAUUUCCUUCUUUUGUCUGAUUGCUCUGGCUAGGAUUUCCAGUACUAUGUUGAAGAGGAGUGGUGAGAGUAGGCUCCUCGUCUUGUUCCAGUUCUCAAAGGGAAUGCUUUCACCGUUUCCCCAUUCAGUAUUAUGUUGGCUGUGGGUUUGUCAUAGAUGGCUUUUAUUACAUUAAGGGAUCAUGGCACAAGUUGCAGUUUCCACCCUGCCCAUGGAAGAUGAGGAGUCCAUGGAAGAUGAGGAGUCUGUUGAAGAUGAUUCCGUGGAGAGCAGGAUGGUGGUGACAUUUCUCGUAUCAGCUCUCAAGUCCACGGAUCAUGGCACAAGUUGCAGUUUCCACCCUGCCCAUUGAAGAUGA
rnacentral:lncRNA from 1 species